AUUGAACGCUGGCGGCAGGCCUAACACAUGCAAGUCGAGCGGAUGAAGGGAGCUUGCUCCUGGAUUCAGCGGCGGACGGGUGAGUAAUGCCUAGGAAUCUGCCUGGUAGUGGGGGAUAACGUCCGGAAACGGGCGCUAAUACCGCAUACGUCCUGAGGGAGAAAGUGGGGGAUCUUCGGACUUCACGCUAUCAGAUGAGCCUAGGUCGGAUUAGCUAGUUGGUGGGGUAAAGGCCUACCAAGGCGACGAUCCGUAACUGGUCUGAGAGGAUGAUCAGUCACACUGGGACUGAGACACGGUCCAGACUCCUACGGGCGGCAGCAGUGGGGAAUAUUGGACGAUGGGCGAAAGCCUGAUCCAGCCAUGCCGCGUGUGUGAAGAAGGUCUUCGGAUUGUAAAGCACUUUAAGUUGGGAGGAAGGGCAGUAAGUUAAUACCUUGCUGUUUUGACGUUACCAACAGAAUAAGCACCGGCUAACUUCGUG
rnacentral:rRNA from 1 species